rnacentral:RNase_P_RNA from 1 species
GGGAGGAGGCGCGGGAGUCCGGCCCGUAUGGGGCUGAGGAAAUUCCACCCACCCAUCUAUCCACGCCGUAAGGUACCCCGAGAGGGGUAGGGAACCCUACAGAAACGUAAAGGAGGCAGGUGGAUGUCGGUGAAGCGGCAGAACCGCGGAGUAUACCCGUCUCGCGGUGAAACGAGGGUUCCCCGUGGGGGUGCAAGCCCGUAGGGGCGCAUAGUCUAAUCUCCCGUACAAACAGAAGGUGGAUUACGGCCUCCACCC